rnacentral:rRNA from 1 species
UACGUAGGGUCCGAGCGUUGUCCGGAAUUACUGGGCGUAAAGCGCACGUAGGCGGUCCGUUAAGUCGGAAGUGAAAGCCCUCGGCUCAACCAAGGAAGUGCUUUCGAAACUGCUGAGCUUGAGUACUUAAGAGGAUCGCGGAAUUCCCGGUGUAGAGGUGAAAUUCGUAGAUAUCGGGAGGAACACCAGUGGCGAAGGCGGCGAUCUGGGAAGAUACUGACGCUGAGGUGCGAAAGCGUGGGGAGCAAACAGG